AUUGAACGCUGCGGCAUGCUUAACACAUGCAAGUCGAACGGAAACGAUGGAGCUUGCUCCAGGCGUCGAGUGCGGACGGGUGAGUAAUGCAUGGAAUCUGCCUUUUGCUGGGGGAUAACGUAGGGAAACUUACGCUUAAUACCGCAUAAGACCUAAGGGCGAAAGCGGGGGACCGAAAGGCCUCGCGGCAAGAGAUGAGCCCAUGUUGGAUUAGCUAGUUGGUGGGGUAAAGGCCUACCAAGGCGACGAUCCAUAGCUGGUCUGAGAGGAUGAUCAGCCACACUGGGACUGAGACACGGCCCAGACUCCUACGGGAGGCAGCAGUGGGGAAUAUUGGACAAUGGGGGGAACCCUGAUCCAGCAAUGCCGCGUGUGUGAAGAAGGCCUUCGGGUUGUAAAGCACUUUCAGUAGGGAGAAAGGUGCGUAGUUAAUCCUGCGCAAUUGACGUUACCUCAAAAAGCCGG
rnacentral:rRNA from 1 species